rnacentral:rRNA from 1 species
UGCGAGUGAACAGGGAUUAGCCCAGCACCGAAGCCUGUGGUCAUUUGAUCACUAGGCAAUGUGGUGUUUAGGUUAUCUCGCAGAGGCACUGCUCCACCCUAAGUCCAAAAAUGAGUACGGUAGUACGGACAUGGCCCACAGAGGGUGAAAGGCCCGUGGGGGUGGAGAUCAGGCAGGCCAGUGCUUCUCUGAGAAAACCUUUGAGUCGGGUUGUUUGAGAUUGCAGCCCAAAGUGGGUGGUAAACUCCAUCCAAGGCUAAAUACGUGCACGAGUCCGAUAGCGAACAAGUACCGUGAGGGAACGUUGAAAAGUACUUUGAAGAGAGAGUAAACAGUGCGUGAAACCGCUCAGAGGUAAACGGGUGGAGUUGAACUGCGAACCCCGAGAAUUCAACUGGUGAGUGUGGUAUGAGCUUGGCAUGAAGGUUGGCUCUGCGGGUCUGCUUAGCUGCAGGUCUUCACCUUUUGGUGGGGAUGCGCGAUACACUUGUCAAGUGGUGCGCGCUCGUAGAGUAACUCGGACAUACUCGCCAGUGCACUUUCUCGGGGUGUUCACCACGACCGGCGCCGCUACUUGUCUAAUAUGGUUAAACCGGUCUUGCUUGGUCCUUGUGGCUUUGCUUGAUCGGGAUGGCAGGUAACUCGUUGACUUGUGUGUUGGCCUCGGUUGACAUGCGCUUGGUUUUCGAGUGUAAUCAGCUGACUGUAUUGGUGCUAUGUAGUGCGUCGGAGACGGCGGCUUGUGGUGUGUGCCUGCGUGCCUAUUUGCUGACGGAGCCGGGUUUGGUUAUUAUGUUGCCUGUCCUGCAGGCCUGGUGAUAGCCCGGUUUCGCUUGGUGAAUGGGAGCGUGUGUGACACUUAUCAGGGCCUAUAGUCUGUGGUGUUGUGGUAGACUAUCCACCUGACCGUCUGA